UAAAACUCUUAUGCCAAGAGAGAUUACUGGAGAAAGUGUUGGAGAAGUAAGAGCAGUGUCUGGGAUGCAUCAAAGAAAAGCAGAAAUGGCAAGACAAGCUGAUGCAUUCAUAGCCUUACCAGGUGGCUAUGGGACAUUGGAAGAACUCCUAGAAGUCAUCACUUGGGCUCAACUAGGCAUUCAUGAUAAACCAGUAGGUUUACUUAAUGUAGAUGGCUACUAUAAU
rnacentral:misc_RNA from 1 species